UACGUAGGGUGCGAGCGUUAAUCGGAAUUACUGGGCGUAAAGCGUGCGCAGGCGGUUCGUUAAGUCAGAUGUGAAAGCCCCGGGCUCAACCUGGGAACUGCAUUUGAAACUGGCGGGCUUGAGUGCGGCAGAGGGGGGUGGAAUUCCGCGUGUAGCAGUGAAAUGCGUAGAUAUGCGGAGGAACACCGAUGGCGAAGGCAAUCCCCUGGACCUGUACUGACGCUCAUGCACGAAAGCGUGGGGAGCAAACAGG
rnacentral:rRNA from 1 species